GCCAUCUUGCUUCAUCUCCGCUACCCACAGGACCCUUGUCUUCAGUAAACCAGCGUUCUGCUGUGUCACAAUCUCGAAAGGCUGGGGUUGAAGAUUCAGCCAUAAUUAACAGGAGACCAACAACACUGAAGUAAAACCUUACAUCAUUGGGACAAUUGAUGCUAGUUAGCUGGAGCUGGGAAAUUAGCAUUAAUUGUGAAGAGACCAGCCUCAUUGAGCUAAAAGUUUUCUAGGAAAUGUUUCCUCAGGGAUACACAUAAGCUGUAUUCCAGAAGUUUUGGAGGUUGUACCUUGUGCUGGCAGCAGAACUAGGUAGUACAAGAAUUAUGCAAGUGGUACUGGUCUUGAAGACAUGAAGGGGUCAUGGACAACAAUUGAGUCUUGACAAUGUGAGAAGGCAGAUGAAUCCAUUGGUAAAGGGGCAGCCUUAGUGGCAGGUGAAGGCCCAGGACUGAAGGUGUCAUUCAACGAAGUUGAGGAGGCUUGACACCAGGAAGAAUGUCUAUGAAAGGCUAAUGGUGAAAGUACAGCCCAGUUGCAGUAGAAGACCCCAGAAAUGUGAAGAUGCCCAUACUAUAAGACAACCAUCAAGAACAGUGGAGAGGAGCCAGCUGGACUUUAGAAGACAAGCUGUAUGUGCUGCAGAGGUCAGAGCUCUUUGGAGGAGCUCAGAAGAUUGUGAGUGAAUCCCAGAUUCUCGAAUUCCCGGCCAUGUACCAAAUGAAAGACCCUCGAGGGAAGACCCUCACUCAGACACUCAAGUCCCGGGACAGCCGCGUACCCAAGAAGAC